rnacentral:misc_RNA from 1 species
GCCUCUUGGGCUUCCCCGCCACCUUCAGCCACCUCUAGCCGCCCUUGGGCCAUGGAACCACGACGGGCUCAGCCACCGCCUCUCCCUUUGAGAACCACCUCCUCCAACAUCCCCGCCACCCUUCUCAACAGGUAUGAACUCGGUAAAUUGCUGGGCCGCGGCAGCUUCGCCAAGGUUUACGCAGCUCGUUCUCUGACUGAUAACAAGCUCGUUGCUAUAAAGAUUAUCGACAAAACACGCACGGUGGACGCUGCCAUGGAACCUCGGAUAAUAUGCGAGAUUUCCGCCAUGCGCCGCCUCCAGCACCAUCCUAAUAUUCUUAAAAUCCAUGAAGUCAUGGC